GCUGAUUCUACUGCGGCAGCACCCAUGGAGAGCGUUAUUGUCAGGAUUGCUCCUCUAGAACCUGAAGGAAGAGUAAACACUCUUAGAGAUAGUAGCUAAAUGCUAAGAAAGGUCAUCAAUUUAGAAUUUGUCAGUACUUAGAUAGGAGAUUUUAAUACUUUGAGCAAAAUUCAUGUCUUUAGCCAUAGAUUGGUUUCUCAAAAGAGAAGAAAACAUAGGAUACUUCGACUUUUUUUUAUGUCUUUCUUUUUUGCCUGUAGCACAAAGUGUACACAGAGAGAAUAUAUCUAACUUUUCAGUAACAUCUCAUGAGUUCAACAAAUUUCUUUUGGCAAACUUAUCAUUUACGGUGGGAUGUGAAUUAUGCAUUCUUAUCCGAACACACUAAAAUCAUCUAUAACCAAAGCUUGAUAAGUGCUAGUCAUAUUCUUAUGUGUCAUAAUCACUACACAGAACCAAAAAAAGUCACUAGACAGAACCAACGGUUUCCCGGUAAUGAAUGCUAAGGUUUAUGCAACGAAUCAGUGUCUAGUCUACAGAAGAUGCAUUUACAAAACCAGACAUCAUCACCUGUAUGCGUACCACUGAAAAAUGCACAAAGUUUGUGAACAAUAAAUGAUCUAUCCACUUGACACGACCCACUUUAUAAACUACCCAUAUAACUCAAAAUCAAUCAACACACAUGACUCAUCGGGAUAGUAAAUAAUAUGUCAUAUGAUCCUUCCCGACAACGAUAACGAAAUCUACUCUGCCCUAGGAAUACUGACCCAACCAAUAAUAGAGUAAACCAACCAACCUAAGUUUCUGGGUAAAAGUCAGACCUGAGAGCUACUUUGGGGGAUGCAUAGUUUUGUAAGAUAUCAAGUUAAGUUACACUAAACUUUGUCUUGCAAGAUUCUCAACCAACAGUCAUGUACACAUCUUAUGGGAUCUAAAUUUGACACCAGACAUAUCUAUUCCAUGAUACACUGACAAAAUCGUAGAGUUGAUCUGUAGUUACCAUCCUGGUCGAGAGCAUCCAUUCCCAUAAGUCACACACCAAAAUCUAAAAGAGGGUGUUAAGUAAGAUAAGUGAGAAAUCCUUCACCAUUAUUAAACCAAACACGGUUAAACUUCCAUAUGAAUCUCAUCACAAGCCUCUCCUACUCUAAUCUGAGGGUUGAUACAUGUUGAUGCCUCAACAGUCAACAUCACUCACACUUUAUCUUAUCAUAUUGGUACUAGAGUUUGUACCGUAUCAUGGUGAUGUUCUGUCUUAUGUAAUAUGCUUUCUCUAUUAUUCUUCUUUUAUUCACAACAAGCGCACAUCUUGGGUAUUGUAGUUGAACAGUAGCAGUGCUAUCUCGUUGUGUGGAAACGGAAGAAAAACUACAAAGUUGGCCUAAUUAGAGUCUAUCUCUAUAUAUGAUAAGAAAAAACAUUGUGCAAAUAAAAAAAGAAUGCGUGAAGUGUUCAACUAGAUAUAGGGAGAUAUAUAAUUGAUAUCUUAGUCAUUUUCAUAGGUUUCUCAAAAUACCAAACUCGGAAUCCUGAUCACUGGUGAUUCAGAACCAGCUAAACAACUUGGUAUCAAGAACCUAUUGUUAAAAAAAUUACUAAAAUUGAUUGAGGUAAGGAGCACAUUUUUCUAACUACGAGAACUUGGAGAUCCUACAGUUAAAAAGGAAGCAACAUGUCAAAAACAAGGUUAUCAAAACAAAAGACAUGUUAUAAACAAAUGAUGGUUCAAAUAGGGCUUAAGAUCCUAGGCAUUUCUGAUUGGAUGAGAUGUAAAUUAAGUGUUGAAAAGUUCAAUUAAUAAGCACAGCUCCACUUUAAAAAGGGAGUUUAAUAAAAAUUUCGGAAGUCCACAAAAAAUAAGAGUUAUUGGUUAAUAACAGAAGAAUGUGGUUUACAGGUUAGCAUAUGCCCAUUACAAACAUCCGAGGAAUAUCAUAUGGUAUCAGGUAUUAUCUGGUAAAUAUGCUAUUGAGAUUGUAAAAUCUGCAACAAAGUAUUUUUAAGUUCAAUCAAUGACCUUACUGCAACAACCAAUGACCUUACUGCAACAACCAAGGGUAUAAACUACUCUAUCAACAAUCUGUAGUUCUGCCUUCUAUAAACUACUCUGGAACAACCGUAGGACAUCAACAGAUGUUAAUAAAACAAAAGAUGUUCAAAUUUCCGCUACCAUUCAAGUCCUACUGCAAUUAUUUCAAUGUUCUUUUAGUAAAAGUAAAAUAGUGAUUAAAGACAGAAGCACACUAGAGGACAAUGAUAGCUUUGGAAGAUAAUGUUUAAAAUUCUAUCUUUAGUGCUUUAAGAAAAUCCCGGGCCACUUGUUGGACUAAAGACCUCGAUCAGUAAGAUAGAUUCAUGCCUAACCUUUUUGUAAUAUAAGUAUAUAACAAAUAUCGUAGCUACAAUUCAGAACUAUGCUAAUAAUAUAAUAAAGAAAGUUUUGUCGACAUACCGUUGAAAAGCAAAAGAGCUGUACACAAUAGGCUCUGCCUAUUCAUCCUAGCACAAUGAACAAAGAUAUUUACUUUAACAGAUAUUUAGUAGGAACGAUGAACAAAUAGAUACUUAACAGAUAUUUUAGUAGAUAUUUAGUAGAAACUAUGAAUACUUAGAAGUUCAUCAAAGGUGGAAGACUGAAAAUAAUAAUGGGUACAUAGAUAAUUACAAGGAAAGACUAACGCUCUGUGUUUCACUAGUUCAAGUUUCUGGCAAAAGAGAGCUUUACUUAUCUAUGACAUGCAGCAAAACUCUUACUUGAGUAUUCCCAAAAAUAUUCCAGUUCUCAUCUUUUUCAUGUUAUUUCACCUCAAGAGAACCAUUUAUAUGCAGACAUUUAGAUACUUGGGAAUUGCUAAACAGAAUUUGCAUGUAUUCCCCAAACUCAAAAUAUAUAAUAGUGAAAGUAAACUAAAAUCUAGCUUAUCAAGAAUCACCACAAGACAAAAAUGAUUUCAAGACAAAAAAUAAAAAGAUUCUACUUUAAAGUAAGACAUAGAUAAAUGAUUUCCAAAUUCAAUGUUGGAAAAGUGAUAGUACCUACCUACACAGGCAUCUGGGGGUUGGAGGAGGUAUGGGCCAAUGGCACAAUCAGCACUCAAGGAUUUCUGAAAUUAAAUAAGCUCAUUCAGGGUCCCAAGUCUCAUUGGAAAAAAAAACGAAAAGAAGAAGAAAACACACCUUUUAUAUUAAAAAAAUUAUUCUGUCCAAUUAUAAAAUUCUCAGCCCCCACUCAGUAAUCAAUAAGCAUCUCAAGCUAUAUAUAAGAAGUUUAAACCUUAAGAAGAAAUAAACAAGCAAAGCAUAGAGAAUAGACUUUAAUUUUAAGAUAUUUAAAAUAGUAAAAAUGUCUGCAACUGAGUUACCUUCUUCAGCACAAGCCUUCCAAGAGCAAUUCCUUGGCAGUUUUGUCUCUAGAAAGCUGCUUCUGCACAACCCAUUUGACCACAACACUCAACGAGCC
rnacentral:lncRNA from 1 species